CUGGGUAAGUAUGUUUAUUGAAUACUACACUGAAGCAUAGCUCAGUUAUUAUGGGCCCAAAUCAAAUGAAAUUUUGGAUACUGAUUGCACAUGAUGAGACGCAUGGAAAAACACUUCUAAUUUUGUUGCCAAGGUAACAAUGUCGUUCCCAGGCCCCAUGCGCCAAUUUUAUAAAACAGCUUUAUUCAAGGUACUGAUAAAAAUAAAAUAAUAUCAGAAGUAUGUGUACGAUACCUA